rnacentral:lncRNA from 1 species
GGAAAAUAUGUUAAAGGCAGCCAGAGAGAAAGGGCAGGCCAUCUACAAAGGGAACCCCAUUAGGCUAACAGCAGAUCUCUCAGCUGAAAUCCUACAAGCCAGAAGGGAUUGGGGGACUAUAUUUAACAUUAUUAAAGAAAAUCUUCAACCAAGAAUUUCAUAUACAGCUAAACUAAGCUUUCUAAAUGAAGGAGAAAUGAGAUCAUUUACAGACAAGCAAAUUCUGAGUUUUGCACAUUCAGUGUAAUGUUGGCUGUGGGUUUGUCAUGGCUAGCUCUCAUCAUUUUGGCACUUCUGACUAGAAGGGCAAGAGGGGCCAGUGUUGUUGUUACCUGAAAGGUGAUGGCAUCAGCUGAGAAGGGAAGGAAGCCCAUGAGAGGACACUGAAGAAGGAGUGAGCAGACAAUAAGAAGCCCACAGAAGACAGAGAAGGAACAACUAGAGGGAGAAGCCAAGACACUACCCAAAGCAGUGCUUCACUACAGUGGCAGACAGACCUGAAAAUUUUCAUCUGAAGCAGCAGAGUGAACUGCAGAGGCAGGUCACCAACCAGUGUGGAGGCUAAAAGCGGGCCUCUUUGGGGAUUCCAGGUGGAAGUGUUGGACAUCUGUAGUAUUCCUGGUCUCGAAUCAUCCUGAUAUUCUUCAUUUUGUUAUUCACAUUGGACUAGGAGAUAGAAUCUCACUAUGUUGACCAGGCUGGUCUUGAACUCUUGGCACCCAAGCGAUCCUUUUGCCUGGAAUCCCAAAGUGUCAGAUUUACUGAAGAAUAUUUCAUUGUAAUUACUUUUUAUACUUUAUAGGUCAAGAGCUCUGUUUUAAAUACAAAAUUUAUUGAAUAUACUUUUUCAAACAAAGUUUCAUGUUCUAAUCAUUGUCUGAUUUCAGC